CUGUGACUCUUGUUGUGGAACUUGUGGACUAUUUGCCUGCCUGUUUUGUUGGACUAGUGUUGGAUUACUGUUGCCUGCCCUCUGGAUAAUUUGCCUGCCAUAGACUGCUCUUUCUGGUAUUGACCUCUGCUGCACUGUAUUGAACUUCUAUACAAGAAUAAAGUCACUUGCAACUGCUAUUGGUCUGCUCUUGGGUCUGACUAGAAAACCUGACAGGUGAAGGGAGUCAGCCAGCUGGUCAAGGUUUUUGGUUCCCUGGCCAUAUUUCAGAGACCACUGUUGAUCUCGGCAGCAGGUCUGUGGGCUUCUCCCCCUUCAGCAAACAUCACAGCGGCUAGUCCACCACCGUGGUCUCCAGUCUCCACUACCAACAGCCUGAUAGCUGGGCAUAGUCAAUGGGCUAUACACCUCUUACUGACACCCCAACCCAUACAGCAGCGGGCCAAACUGGAUAUCAAAACACGACUCACAAAACCAGUCUUCUCUGGAGGCUGUGCCUACAGCAAUUGCCAAGGAGACCCUCAUCCAAUUAGACUCUAUUAGAGUGCAGCAGUUGAUCAUCCUGGUGCAGCUCCAAAAAAUCUCCAGCAGUAAAGCUAUUCCAGAAGUCACAUCAGACCCAAUACAUUUCGGGCUCCCACUUUCAACCAUUGAGGAGCUACAACGUUUGGAGGAGACAUUGAACAACUCGGAGGAGAAGAAGAAUUUGGCAUGACUCUUAAAUAUACCAUGGGGCGGGUCUUAAAAAGAGCUAUGAACACAUCGCUGGCGAGAGUCAUUAAUUGGAGUGGGGCCAACCGAAAGCCUGGAUUUAAAGGGCUCAUUUUGAAAAGUGUGGUUCUGGAUGCAGUCUGCUGGAAUGCCCUGACCAAAGAUUCAACAGAAAAGGAAAUAGCUCCUCAUCAUAAGGUGGCUGCAGCUAGCCUCUGAUGGGGAUGGUGGCCAAAGCCAGAGGGUGAACAGGCAUACAACGUAGACAAAACUCAG